UAUUAUUUUAAGUGUUAAUUUUGCUUACCAGGGUACUGUUAGUUAAGUUCUUUAAACCCAAAGAAUUUGGCGGUAUCUCAUUCCAUUCAGAGGAACCUACCCCGUAAUUGAUAGUACACGAUUAACUUUACUUAAUUUAUUUGUUUGUAUAUCUCCGUUAUCAGAAAAUCUUUUUAGAGUUAUAAUUUUCUUGAUUUAUAAUUAUAAAAUAUUUCAGGUCAAGGUGCAGCUUAUAAUUAAGAGGAGGUGGGUUACAAUAGAUUUUUGUUUAUUACGAAUUUGAUGGUGAAAAACUUUCAAUGAAGGUGGAUUUGAUAGUAAUUUAAUUUAUUUAAUUUAAUUGAUAUUGGCUCUGAGGUGUGUACACAUCGCCCGUCACUCUCAUUAUUGAUCAUUAUACUUAAGAUUUUUUGGUAAGGUAUGUUCAAAUUAAAUGAG
rnacentral:rRNA from 1 species